rnacentral:rRNA from 1 species
UACGGAGGGUGCGAGCGUUGUUCGGAAUCACUGGGCGUAAAGCGCGUGUAGGCGGCCUUCUAAGUCCGAUGUGAAAGCCCGGGGCUCACCCCCGGAAGUGCAUUGGAUACUGGGAGGCUGGAGUACCGGAGAGGAGGGUGGAAUUCCUGGUGUAGCGGUGAAAUGCGCAGAUAUCAGGAAGAACACCUAUGGCGAAGGCAGCUCUCUGGGACGGUACUGACGCUGAGACGCGAAAGCGUGGGGAGCGAACAGG